rnacentral:lncRNA from 1 species
UUAGAUGAUGAUUAAUCUUAACCUUCUUCCCAAGAAAUAUAUGUCCUACAUAAUUUACAUUGGCUUUUCGAUUUGUAGAACAAUUGUUUUUCUUUGCGCUUCAUCGAACUUGGACAAUCAUUUUUUAUAAUGACCAAUUCUCCCACACUCAAAGCAUGUCAUUUUUCUUCUUCUUUCUUUUUAUAAACCCACUUCUUUAGAGGAUUCAAUUUUCUGAAUUUCAUUAACUUUUUGUCUAAGUGUUUUAGAACACUCUUCAUCAUAUACUUAUUGUAGCGUCU